UACGGGGGGGGCAAGCGUUGUUCGGAAUUACUGGGCGUAAAGGGCUCGUAGGUGGCCAACUAAGUCAUACGUGAAAUCCCUCGGCUUAACCGGGGAACUGCGUCUGAUACUGGAUGGCUUGAGUUUGGGAGAGGGAUGCGGAAUUCCAGGUGUAGCGGUGAAAUGCGUAGAUAUCGGGAGGAACAUCAGUGGCGAAGGCGGCUAUCUGGACUAACACUGACACUGAGACUCGAAAGCGUGGGGAGCAAACAGG
rnacentral:rRNA from 1 species